GACAACAUUAAGGGACAGUUUGAGCCUCCUGAUGUAGUGGAGGUGAUGAUGUAGUGGGGCUGAUGAUGUAAUGGAGGUGAUGAUGUAAUGGAGGUGAUGAUGUAAUGGAGGUGAUGAUGUAAUGGAGGUGAUGAUGUAGUGGAGGUGAUGAUGUAGUGGAGGUGAUGAUGUAGUGGAGGUGAUGAUGUAGUGGAGGUGAUGAUGUAAUGGAGGUGAUGAUGUAGUGGAGGUGAUGAUGUAAUGGAGGUGAUGAUGUAGUGGAGGUGAUGAUGUAAUGGGGGUGAUGAUGUAAUGGAGGUGAUGAUGUAGUGGGGGUGAUGAUG